rnacentral:rRNA from 1 species
GAUGAACGCUGGCGGCGUGCCUAAUACAUGCAAGUCGAGCGAACAGACCAGGAGCUUGCUCGUCUGACGUUAUCAGCGGACGGGUGCUUCACACGUGGAUAACCUACCUAUAAGACUGGGAUAACUUCGGGAAACCGGAGCUACUACCGGAUAAUAUAUUGACCCGCAUGGUUCAAUAGUGAGAGACGGUUUUGCUGUCACUUAUAGAUGGAUCCGCGCUGCAUUAGUUAGUUGGUAAGGUAAAGGCUUACCAAGGCUACGAGGCUAAGCCGCCCUGAGCGCGAGGUUCGACACCUGGUAACUGAGAAUCGUCACAGACACUUACGGGAGGCAGCAGUAGGGAAUCCUCCGCAAUGGGCGAGUGCGUGAUGGAGCAAAGUGGCGGGAGUGAUGAUGGACUACGGACCGUUAAGUUAUGUUAGCAGUGAAGAACAAAUGUGCUAGUAACCAUGAUCGUCUUGACGGUACCUAAUCAGAAAGCUCCGGCUAACUCCGUG